rnacentral:rRNA from 1 species
CAUCUGCAGUGGCGGGUGCUUACCAUGCAAGUCGAACGGUGAACACGGAGCUUGCUCUGUGGGAUCAGUGGCGAACGGGUGAGUAACACGUGAGCAACCUGCCCCUGACUCUGGGAUAAGCGCUGGAAACGGCGUCUAAUACUGGAUACGAGUAGCGACCGCAUGGUCAGUUACUGGAAAGAUUUAUUGGUUGGGGAUGGGCUCGCGGCCUAUCAGCUUGUUGGUGAGGUAAUGGCUCACCAAGGCGUCGACGGGUAGCCGGCCUGAGAGGGUGACCGGCCACACUGGGACUGAGACACGGCCCAGACUCCUACGGGAGGCAGCAGUGGGGAAUAUUGCACAAUGGGCGCAAGCCUGAUGCAGCAACGCCGCGUGAGGGAUGACGGCCUUCGGGUUGUAAACCUCUUUUAGCAGGGAAGAAGCGAAAGUGACGGUACCUGCAGAAAAAGCGCCGGCUAACUACGUGCCAGCAGCCGCGGUAAUACGUAGGGCGCAAGCGUUAUCCGGAAUUAUUGGGCGUAAAGAGCUCGUAGGCGGUUUGUCGCGUCUGCUGUGAAAUCCGGAGGCUCAACCUCCGGCCUGCAGUGGGUACGGGCAGACUAGAGUGCGGUAGGGGAGAUUGGAAUUCCUGGUGUAGCGGUGGAAUGCGCAGAUAUCAGGAGGAACACCGAUGGCGAAGGCAGAUCUCUGGGCCGUAACUGACGCUGAGGAGCGAAAGGGUGCGGAGCAAACACGCUUAGAUACCCUGGUAGUCCACCCCGUAGACGUUGAGAACCAAUUGUGGGGGUCCAUUCCACGGAUCCCGG